rnacentral:snoRNA from 1 species
AAACCAUGAUGAGGACACUCUAAGAGGAUGUCUUUGAAACGUUCCAUAAAUUUAGAAAAUGAUUCAUUGGGUUUUUGAUGAAACUGGAGAAUGUCGUUCCUAAGUUU